AUUGAACGCUGGCGGCAGGCUUAACACAUGCAAGUCGAGCGAACAGAUGAAGUGCUUGCACUUCUGACGUUAGCGGCGAACGGGUGAGUAACACGUAAGGAAUCUACCUAUAAGCGGGGGAUAACAUUCGGAAACGGGUGCUAAUACCGCAUAAUAUCUUCUUCCGCAUGGAAGAAGAUUGAAAGACGGCUCUGCUGUCACUUAUAGAUGACCUUGCGGUGCAUUAGUUAGUUGGUGGGGUAACGGCCUACCAAGACGAUGAUGCAUAGCCGACCUGAGAGGGUGAUCGGCCACAUUGGGACUGCGACACGGCCCAAACUCCGACGGGAGGCAGCAGUAGGGAAUCUUCCGCAAUGGGCGAAAGCCUGACGGAGCAAUGCCGCGUGAGUGAAGAAGGCCUUCGGGUCGUAAAACUCUGUUAUAAGAGAAGAACAAAUUGUAGAGUAACUGCUACAGUCUUGACGGUAUCUUAUCAGAAAGCCACGGCUAACUACGUGCCAGCCGCCGCAGUAA
rnacentral:rRNA from 1 species